GAUGCGCCAUGGCCAGAGACACAAAUCAAAUCAAUAGAUAGAUUCUUCUGCUCUUUGCUCUGUGCAAAUACUCUUAUGUGAUAUGGAAUUUCAAGAAAAGUAAAAUCGUAAUUCUAAAGUGAUUGUUUUGUGCAUUUACACCACACACCACAUAAUAACUUCAACUUUGCUUUUACGUGUUUGGCGAUAGGGAUUCAAGUAUAGGAAGCGAUUUGUUCAUUUGUGAGAAGGAGAAUUGACAAUUGUUCUACAGGAAUGUAGUGGUGCCAUACCACUGCUGUAAAGAUUUCGAGUUGCCGAAAACCUUCCCAGUCCAGAAUUAGUUGCCAAAGCCAUAAGUGCAGUUAUUGGGUUUUUUUCAAAAUCAGCUAGUUGAUUAGCUGUUGGCGGUUCUUUCAAGUCCAGACUAAUCGUAUUUUCAGUUAAAAACUCCUCUGAUGAUUCCAAUAGAGAUAAUUCUCCUCCUGUUGCUACUUCAGUUAUAAUUUCAAUCACCAGAGCAUUGCUGUCCAUGUCUUGAACUUCUGAGGAUUCAUUUUGAAACUGCAAGCACAAUUAAAAUGGACUUUAUUGCUUUCUUAUCAUCAGAAUACUAACAAACAGACUAAUAUAUUUGGAAUCCUACCUCAAUUUCUAUGUCCACAUCAAUCAAUUGUUCUUCAGAUGGCGCCAAAUCAUUUGCAGAAAACAACUGCAUUAAUUGCGAAUUUAAGUAUUGUACGUUUUCAAAAUAAACCACAAAUUGGUUACCGAUAUUCGAUUUUCUUCCACUAAAUCAAAAUCUAAACGGCUGCAUUCCUCGCUUGCCGCCCUUUUCUGCGCCUUAUUAAUAAUCUUCUGCCUGUCUGGUGUGAAAGUACUUUUUUUCUUGCCUCUUUUCGGCAUUUUGAAUGAUUUCGCUCGUAAUGCUCAUGCGGAACUAAACAAAUUCCUACCUCAAUUUCUAACAAAUUUAUUAGUCCGUGUCAGAGGUACGCCAUCUAGCAGAUAAAUCCAUAAUAUAUGAAUGGAAUCACCAUUCCUAGAUGGCGUGUAAGUUUCGAGUUUGCUUCUUGAUGUUGUUUUUAAGUCUAGAAUUUGGUGUUACUUGGUGUUACGAAUUUCGUGAUACAGAUAUAUCGGCCGAAAUAUAGGUUUUCGAAAUGGCGAAGGCGUCCAUCGCCACACAGUGUUUCAGACCUAAUUCAUGAUAAUAGAGUAAGAUCAUUCGCAUUUGAUUUCAUCACUAGUUUUUAGCCCUUGGUACUUUUUUCCCCCCUUCGAGCUGUGGUCGUGUGAUUUAUAAGUUCUGAAAAUUAUCUAAUGCAUAUUAUCUCACCAGCACGCCGGCCCGCUUUUCAGAUUGUAUCGUCCACCUUCUUUCCUUAUGGGAAAACAAGGUCCAGAAAUGUACUGGAAGACUUUGAAUCCAGGCCAGCAGCUGCAAAUAUCAAGCAGGUGCUGUUCUUAAGCUUUGAAGACAUUUUAAAAGCUCUUCAAACAACUGCAUCCGAGUCAUUGAACACAAGGCAACUUCACUAUCACAACAAUGAAAACAAUGUGGUCAAUGUUGCGAGAAACAUUUUUAUUAUGAAGAUUCGUUGAUGUUUGAAUUCCUUUUUUAAAAAAUUGUGUUCUGCUUCAUCACCUUAAUUUAAAUACGUUAACAGGGGUGGCCUUGCUGGCCAACAAUUUGUGUUUAAGCGUGUCACUGGACCAACGACUGAUCCUCUGGAAACGAGAAGACACUCGACUUAGAUGGCUCUCGCCCGUUUGCUGCGACAUAUCCGACAUUCAAGGUCUGGACGUGUCUGUGGGUGCCUCCAAAACUUCUUUGCCCAAAAUCCUGGUUUACGGUCAAGGUAUUCAAAUCUUUGAAGUGGACAACUUGUUCAACAUCACCGAACAUCACUCACAAAAUAGACUAUUCAUCUGUCGACCCGUUAUCCGACUAAGGUAAAAAGAAAAAUACAAAAUAUAUUUUGCAUGGCGCGCU
rnacentral:lncRNA from 1 species